rnacentral:lncRNA from 1 species
UUCAGUCUCUGGGCCUUUCAUUCCAGAAUCACUAAUUAUAAUAAGAAAAAAGGUGUUCAGAAGUCUAGAGUCAAUUUAUGCUUCAUAAUAAUCUAUUAGCAAGCCAAAUGGCUCAUUUAUGGAGAAUGCUAUCCAAAUUGGAUUUUCCAGUAGUAAAUAUUUAAAUUCCAGGCACUUGAGGAAAAUGUUGCCAAAUAAAUUCUAGACACCACUAUUUUGACUACUUAACAAACAUGUCUUCCCAUCAUCUUUCUAAGAAUAGGUCCACCCCUCCCCACUAGAAAUAGGGGUAGGCUCGUGAAUUAUGCUGAGCCUUAUGGAGUAUCAAGCUUGACCGACGGUGGUAAGUCAUUGGUCCAAGGUGUCAGCACAGAACCUAAUGGGGCCAAUAAUACUUAUCUCUGGGAUUCUUUUCAGAAAGCUAAAAGAGCGUGUGUUCCUUGACACUGUGGUCUUGGAACUGUUAAUAUAUAAGCUACAGUGGCUUAAAGUCAUUUCUAAAGCCACGCAAAGAUAAAUGGAACUCACAUGCUGUGUAGCCUUGCUUUAUUUCAAAGACCCUAAAAUUAUAAGGACAAUUUAGGCAAUAGUAGCAUCUACCAAAAAGAAAAUGUGUUUAUGCAAAAGUUUCAAAAGCAUGGAGG